AGGACGAACGCUGGCGGCGUGCUUAACACAUGCAAGUCGAACGGGGAUUAGUUGAUAGAGAGCUUCGGCAGGAAAUUGAUUAAUCGAGUGGCGGACGGGUGAGUAACGCGUGAGCAACCUGUCCCAGACAGGGGGAUAACACUUGGAAACAGGUGCUAAUACCGCAUAAGACCACGGGAUCACAUGGUUCUGGGGUAAAAGGAGCAAUCCGGUUUGGGGUGGGCUCGCGUCCGAUUAGCCAGUUGGCGGGGUAACGGCCCACCAAAACGACGAUCGGUAGCCGACCUGAGAGGGUGAACGGCCACAUUGGAACUGAGAGACGGUCCAAACUCCUACGGGAGGCAGCAGUGGGGAAUAUUGGGCAAUGGGCGAAAGCCUGACCCAGCAACGCCGCGUGAGUGAAGAAGGCCUUCGGGUUGUAAAGCUCUGUUAUAGUUGACGAAGGAAGUGACGGUAGGCUAUAAGGAAGCCCCGGCUAACUACGUGCCAGCCGCCGC
rnacentral:rRNA from 1 species